AGCUUUGCACAGUUGCAGUAUCAUAGCCAAUGAGGCUUAUCCAAGGCAUGAUUAUUGAUAAUUGAAAAUAAAUAUAUAAAAUGUAC
rnacentral:snRNA from 1 species